rnacentral:rRNA from 1 species
GGUAGCAAACGGGAUUAGAGACCCCGGUAGUCCUAGCCCUAAACGAUGUAGACUUGGCGUCGGUGGUUUAAUCGCCAUCGGUGUCGUAGCUAACGCGAUAAGUCUACCGCCUGGGGACUACGGCCGCAAGGUUAAAACUCAAAGGAAUUGACGGGUCCCCGCACAAGCAGCGGAGCGUGUGGUUUAAUUCGAUGCUACACGAAGAACCUUACCUGGGUUUGACAUAGAGGUAGUAGGGAAGCGAAAGUGGACCGACCCUUCGGGGAGCCUCUACAGGUGUUGCAUGGCUGUCGUCAGCUCGUGUCGUGAGAUGUUCGGUUAAGUCCGCUAACGAGCGCAACCCUCGCUGUGUGUUACAAGUGUCACACGGUACUGCCGAUAUUAAGUCGGAGGAAGGUGGGGAUGACGUCAAGUCAGCAUGACCUUUAUAUCCAGGGCUACACACACGCUACAAUGGCCAGUACAAUGGGUUGCCAAGCCGCGAGGCGGAGCCAAUCCUAAAAAGCUGGCCUCAGUUCAGAUUGCAGUCUGCAACUCGACUGCAUGAAGUG